CAGCCGCCGCGGUAAUACAGAGGAUGCAAGCGUUAUCCGGAAUGAUUGGGCGUAAAGCGUCUGUAGGUGGCUUUUCAAGUCCGCCGUCAAAUCCCAGGGCUCAACCCUGGACAGGCGGUGGAAACUACCAAGCUGGAGUACGGUAGGGGCAGAGGGAAUUUCCGGUGGAGCGGUGAAAUCCGUUGAGAUCGGGAAGAACACCAACGGCGAAAGCACUCUGCUGGGCCGACACUGACACUGAGAGAUGAAAGCUAGGGGAGCAAGUGGGAUUAGAUACCCCAGUAGUCCCUGUCUCUUAUAC
rnacentral:rRNA from 1 species